rnacentral:rRNA from 1 species
GCUGGCGGCGUGCCUAACACAUGCAAGUCGAACGCGAAAGCCCCGCAAGGGGUAAGUAGAGUGGCGAACGGGUGAGUAACACGUGGGUGACCUACCUUCGAGUGGGGGAUAACGUCCCGAAAGGGACGCUAAUACCGCAUAACAUCCUGCUCUUGAACGAGUGGAGAUCAAAGCCGGGGAUCGCAAGACCUGGCGUUUGAAGAGGGGCCCGCGUCUGAUUAGCUAGUUGGUGAGGUAACGGCCCACCAAGGCAACGAUCAGUAUCCGGCCUGAGAGGGCGGACGGACACACUGGGACUGAGACACGGCCCAGACUCCUACGGGAGGCAGCAGUGGGGAAUUGUUCGCAAUGGGCGCAAGCCUGACGACGCAACGCCGCGUGGAGGAUGAAGGUCUUCGGAUUGUAAACUCCUGUUGCCCGGGACGAAAAGCUUCGAUCUAACACAUCGAAGUCUGACGGUACCGGGUGAGGAAGCCCCGGCUAACUCUGUGCCAGCAGCCGCGGUAAUACAGA